AAAGAUGCGCUAAUACCGCAUAAUCUCUAAGGAGAAAAGCAGGGGAUCGCAAGACCUUGCGCUUUUGGAGCGGCCGAUGUCUGAUUAGCUAGUUGGUGAGGUAAAGGCUUACCAAGGCUUCGAUCAGUAGCUGGUCUGAGAGGACGACCAGCCACACUGGGACUGAGACACGGCCCAGACUCCUACGGGAGGCAGCAGUGGGGAAUUUUGGACAAUGGGGGCAACCCUGAUCCAGCCAUGCCGCGUGAGUGAAGAAGGCCUUCGGGUUGUAAAGCUCUUUCAGCCGGAACGAAAAGGUUACGGUUAAUACCCGUGACUAAUGACGGUACCGGAAGAAGAAGCACCGGCUAACUACGUGCCAGCAGCCGCGGUAAUACGUAGGGUGCGAGCGUUAAUCGGAAUUGCUGGGCGUAAAGCGUGCGCAGGCGGUUUUGUAAGUCAGAUGUGAAAUCCCCGGGCUUAACCUGGGAACUGCGUUUGAAACUACAAGGCUAGAGUGUGGCAGAGGGGGGUGGAAUUCCACGUGUAGCAGUGAAAUGCGUAGAGAUGUGGAGGAACACCGAUGGCGAAGGCAGCCCCCUGGGUUAACACUGACGCUCAGGCACGAAAGCGUGGGGAGCAAACAGGAUUAGAUACCCUGGUAGUCCACGCCCUAAACGAUGUCAACUAGUUGUCGGGUCUUAACGGGCUUGGUAACGCAGCUAACGCGUGAAGUUGACCGCCUGGGGAGUACGGUCGCAAGAUUAAAACUCAAAGGAAUUGACGGGGACCCGCACAAGCGGUGGAUUAUGUGGAUUAAUUCGAUGCAGCGCGAAAAACCUUACCUACCCUUGACAUGUACCGAAGCCCGCCGAGAGGUGGGCGUGCC
rnacentral:rRNA from 1 species